rnacentral:rRNA from 1 species
UCUCCCAGUAACGGCGAGUGAACGGAGAUUAGCCCGUCACCGAAGUCCGGUGCUCUUGCACACAGGACAAUGUGGUGUUGAGGCAUGCACCUGGGGCACGCGUGCCCACCCGAAGUCCAACUCCGAUUGUGGCUUGGAUUUGGCCCAGAGCGGGUGAAAGGCCCGUACGGGUGGGCGGUUGAUCGCGAGCGCGGCCCUCAGAUGUGCAUGCUAUCGAGUCGGAUUGCUUGAGAAUGCAGUCCAAAGUGGGUGGUAAACUCCAUCCAAGGCUAAAUACUGGCACGAGUCCGAUAGUAGACAAGUACCGUGAGGGAAAGUUGAAAAGUACUCUGAAGAGAGAGUAAAUAGUACGUGAAACCGAUUGCAGGGAAGCUGGUGGAGUCAAGCUUCAUGCUUGGAGAAUUCUCGCUCGGAGCCCUGUUGUGUGUUGGGCAUGGUGCCGGUUAGCUUGGAAAGAGUUGGGCACACUCGUGUGCUUCAAGUCGGCCCGGGCACGGUUGAUUGAGCCGGUGCUAUUGCUCUGCUCUGAGCGAUCUAUUCUUCGCGGCAUAGAUCACGGUCGAUAGUGUGGUGAAACGUGCUGUCCGACUGUCUAACUGUGCUUUGGUGAGCUUACGGCCCGCCGGGUGCAGGAUGGCAGGUGGUGGUUGUGAGCCCUGUGCUCUCGACUGUUCAAGCUGGUCUCGACCUGCUGACAGUCGGACAGUAUCGUCGCUAUCGCAGAUGUGUGGUGUGCAGCCCUCGGACUGUACGCUGCUCAGAACCGUGAUUCUGAGGUAGACCUUCCACCCGACCCGUCUUGAAACACGGACCAAGAAGUUUAACAUGCGCGCAAGUCACUGGGCUCGUGUGAGCACGAAACCCAAAGGCGCAAUGAAAGUGAAUGACUGUUUUUGCAGUCUCAGGUGUGAUCCUGGCUCGUCCUCACAAGGCGACUGGGCGCAGCACCGGCCCGUCUAUCAGUGUUGUCAUGC